GAAUCUUCCGCAAUGGACGAAAGUCUGACGGAGCAACGCCGCGUGAGUGACGAAGGUUUUCGGAUCGUAAAACUCUGUUGUGAGGGAAGAACAAGUACCACUUAACUACUGGUACCUUGACGGUACCUCACCAGAAAGCCACGGCUAACUACGUGCCAGCAGCCGCGGUAAUACGUAGGUGGCAAGCGUUGUCCGGAAUUAUUGGGCGUAAAGCGCGCGCAGGCGGUCCCUUAAGGCUGAUGUGAAAGCCCACGGCUCAACCGUGGAGGGUCAUUGGAAACUGGGGGACUUGAGUGCAGAAGAGGAAAGUGGAAUUCCACGUGUAGCGGUGAAAUGCGUAGAGAUGUGGAGGAACACCAGUGGCGAAGGCGACUUUCUGGUCUGUAACUGACGCUGAGGCGCGAAAGCGUGGGGAGCAAACAG
rnacentral:rRNA from 1 species